UACGUAGGGGGCGAGCGUUGUCCGGAUUUAUUGGGCGUAAAGCGCACGUAGGCGGCUUUGCAAGUCCCAUGUGAAAUCCCACGGCUCAACCGUGGAAGUGCAUGGGAAACUGCAGAGCUUGAGUACUUAAGAGGAUCGCGGAAUUCCUGGUGUAGCGGUGAAAUGCGCAGAUAUCAGGAGGAACACCGGUGGCGAAGGCGGAUCUCGUGGGCCUUGCCUGACGCUGAGGCGACGAAAGCUAGGGGAGCGAACAGG
rnacentral:rRNA from 1 species